UCAGAAGGGGUCUGAGAGGGAACCAGGUGAAAGGCCUGGACGAUCCGGUCACUGUAUACGGGGAGCGAGAUGCGAAUGCCAUUGUAUGUCCGCACAUAUGAGAAGGCGCAUGAAACGUUGAUCCGUGAGUCAGGAAACCUGCCUGAGAGGUU
rnacentral:ncRNA from 1 species